UGGGGUGUGGCUUACCGGUAAAAGCGCCGAGCUGAUAUCUCGGAGACAGGCGGGUUCGACUCCCCCGACCCCAACCA
rnacentral:tRNA from 1 species